GGCCCAGAUCGUUUACCGUGAAAAAAUUAGAGUGUUCAAAGCAGGCAGAUCCAAUUUUCUGCCACCGAAUACAUUAGCAUGGGAUAAUGGAAUAGGACCCUGUCCUCCUAUUUUCAGUUGGUUUUGGGCAGCGCGAGGACUAGGGUAAUGAUUAAUAGGGAUAGUUGGGGGCAUUAAUAUUUAAUUGUCAGAGGUGAAAUUCUUGGAUUUAUGAAAGAUUAACUUCUGCGAAAGCAUCUGCCAAGGAUGUUUUCAAUAAUCAAGAACGAAAGUUAGGGGAUCGAAGACGAUCAAAUACCGUCGUAGUCUUAACCAUAAACGAUGCCGACCAGCGAUUAGCGUGAGACGUUGAAUACAAAACACCACCAUCGGCGCGGUCGUCCUUGGCGUCGGUCCUUCACGGGGCCGGCGCGAGGGCGGCUUAGCCCGGUGGCACCGGUGAAUGACUCCCCUAGCAGCUUGUGAGA
rnacentral:rRNA from 1 species